UCCAUUGAGGCGAGCGCGUGCUCCGGCGAGCACAUGGGAAACAAGCUGCGAGCGGAGCCUUCUCGCUGCACAACUGCGGCCUUGGCGGCCCUUGCUCCCCCCACCCCCCUUUUUUUUGUUUUUGCUUUAAUCGCAGGGGAUGGCUUUUUAUUUUUGGAAGGAAAACCCCGAUCGAGACAGCGAAUAACUUUGCAAGGCUUCCCGACUGUUUGGAGGGGACUUGGCCGGGCCUGCGAAGGAUGCGUGGUCUCCAUCUCGAUCCCUGGCAAAUCCAACGGCUGUGGCAUCUUCAGCAUCUUGUUCCUUUCAUUCAAGGAUAUCCAAGGCCGUGGGAUUUAGCAAGCUGAACAGAGAUUCCAGAGAAUGUCAGCUGCAGACAAAGCGCCUUGACCAGAAGGAGGGGGAGCAGCAAAUUUUUGGCAGUUCUUGUUCUCCCCCCACCCUCCUUCCCUGAUUCUUGACGUCCAUGAGAGAUUUUUGUUUUGUUUUGUAACACUGAAGUUGGAUUAUUUUCCCACCAUUAUUGGAAUAUGGGAUGGAGUUUUUUGAUGGUCAUAUUUCAUUCUGGAAACCAACGGAGCAUGAAUAAUCAGAACUUGAGAUUUCUCCCACUCUUCCACACAGCUUGAGUAUCUCGUUAGCUGCCCAAGAUGAUGGCUGUUGUAUCAUCCAUGGAUGCAUAUUUGCAAUAUGCAAUACCAAGAAGAGUCUCCUUCAGCUUGUCCUGAAUCUUGGGUGGCUCCAAGUUCUAGAGGGAUCAGAAGAAGAAAGAAAGAAAGAAAGAAAGGAUUCAUUACAGAGGAUUUCAUCAUAGUUCAACAAGGAUAGAAAAACAUUGGAGUAGAUUGCCUCAUGAAGUGUUUUAUUUCUGCUUUUGCUGGAGGUCUUCAUGCCCAAACUGGAUGGUUAUCUGGUCUGAGAUCCUGUGCCAAGCGGGGAGUUGAACAAAAUGACUUCUAAGGCCCCUUUCAAGUUUAUGAUUCUAGGAUUUGUGUAUGUAAUUGAUGGAAGUGAAGGUGCAGAAGAAAGUUCAUACAUGACAACAGUAGCACCAGUUUAACUUUGGCUUUCUCCCAACACAGUGCUACCUUGCAGCCCCAGCAUUGUGCAUCGUGAAAAAUCUAAGUCCUGAUGCUGAGAUGUUGGCUCUUGCUCAUAAGACUUGUAAGCCUACUGGGAGUGGAGGAAUCAUGUUUGGGUACUUUGCGCUCCUUCUCAUAUUGGCAAAGAAUAGAAGUCAUCCAGGAUUCCCAGGAAAGGCCCUCUUCAGCCCCAAUGGCUGGGCUUGCCAGCAGAUUUAAGUUCUUGAUUUCUGGCACGAUUGGAAUGGGAGGGAGCGGACAUUAGUCUGCAAAUUUUGAGCAGGGAAUUGAUACCCUGCAAGAAGGACGGAGCCAGUCGCAGUAGUAUCACAUGAUGAUCAUUAUUCUAUGCCCUGACUUCUGGGAAGAUAGAGAACAAAUGAAACUUUCUGUUGGAGACAUCCCUGUCAGGUACUUGGAAGGUAUAUGAUAGCCCCCCUCAAUCUGAUAGUCCCCCUCAAGGCUAAACUUGCCCCCAUUCCUCAGUCUUUCCUCAAGGUAAGUCUGAUCAAUGCACAGUAUUUACUUCUGAUCAUUUGAAAACGUCUUGCAUCGGCGCAGCCUAAAAAUGCAUUUCCCUUUUUAGCAGCUGUGUCACACAGAUGACUCACAUUCAUCUUCUGAUGGUGUUAUCUUAGUUCACAUUUAGUCUUCAGAAGAUGUUUCUGAGUAUGGGGGAGUGUCAAAGUAGUGCAUCUCUGCAGUGCUGUAGGCCAGCUGUGUCUUUUCCUAGGACAGUGUCCGUGUCCUCCUCUGCUCCUGUAUGAUCCUGGGAAAAGAUGCAGCUGCUUUAAAUCAUCACAGUGAGGGGUUGCGUUGGCCUUCUUGCCUGCUCUGAAGCAACUUCAGAGAUAGAAUCCAAAACUGCACAUCCUUGUUUUCCAUAUAUCUGAGAAAAUUAAGUGUUCUAAUGAAUGCAUGCGCUUGAAAGUAUCUUUUUGUACCUUCGUUAGCUUUGUUGUAGGCUCCCCUCCCUCUCUCACUCUUUCCUGCCUGUCCCCUUUCCUGUUACAGCCUGUUUCAAGAUGUUCAAGUUUUUCCUUUUCUUGCUUAGAAUAGUUCCAUGAUCACUUGAGAUACCAACCCAUCUCUCCAGGGUCACUGAUUGGUCCCACUAGCAUGUGACAAACAAAUGGAGCUGGCUCUUCACAAGUAGGCUUAAUAAAGGAGGUCUUGUCAGGUCUUUCCAAUACUCAGUAUUUAGCUUAAGUCAACUUAGCGCAGAAUGGAGAUGAGCGGGAAUGGUUUCUUAAAUAAUUUAAUCAGUUUGAUUAAAUCAGUUUGGUUUUCAGGGGCCCAGUUGAGGCAUGUGCGCUGCAGCUUUCUGAACCUUUAGAAGAGGUCUGGGGUCACUUGGAGUUGGGAUGGCCGGGCCGGGCCAUAGGAAUGAAAUUAAACUUCCUUUUGUGGUACUGGGGGUGGAGUCAUGGAUCUGAAAAAUAUACGACCCCACCUUCUCUUCUACAUCAGAAUCUUGCAUCUUUUUGAUAGGCUGCUUAGAUUUCAUUGUUCAAAAACAACCCCAUUCUUUAUACUCCUCUCCCCCUCCCCCAAAAGCUGUGACCAGUUUGGGCUAUCAGACUGGCAGCCAUGAAAAAAGCAGCCAGCCUGGGUUUAAUCAGGGCUACUUUUGAUCAUAUCUCAUCUCUUUCCUCCUUCAAGUCUGUGGUUUAUCAGGAAGUGAUAUGGCUUGCUCUCAUUUAGACGAUGCUACUGGCUUUUCGGUUGAUUUUUUCCCAGAAACCUUCUCUGGAAAUUCAGACCUUAUACUAGAAGACAAACAACAUUUGAUUUGCUUAUUACGGUAACUUCCUAAGUCUGUAAAUAGGAAGUCCUCUUGUUGGGCCCUGAGGAAUUCUGUGAACUAAAGAAUUUGCUUAUUUUGGAUAGCUGCUUUUGUCCUGAAAUGUCAGUUGUGCAACCAAAUACCUUUGUCUUUGUCUGGUUCUGAAAGAGGGGAGUUGUUUAUUGAUUAAUUGAUUGAUUGUCACUCUUCUGUCCUGCUUUUCCUUCAGGAUUGCAUACAGAGCAGUCCAUUUCUCAUUCCAACUAUCCUUUGAGGUUGGUUGGGCUGAGAGAGAUUAAUUGUCCUUCGAUCACUUAGUAAGCCUUGAACCUGAAGAUGGCCGGCCCUGAACCUGGAUCUCCCAGAUCCUAAUCCAGUACCUUAACCACUAGAUUACACUGGCUUUCUCACUGAGGAGGGAAUGCAGACAUCUGGGGCAUGUCAGGAGCCCUGCUCAGAAAUGUCUGAUUCUGAUGGGGAACUUUUGCAAUUCUUCAUCUGAAACUAUAGUACACAAACUGAGUUUGUUUGGCAACUCUGUUUAGCAGAGGUUCUCAGGAUAUCAUUUUUUCAUCCUUUGCAGAGUGCCUCUUGCAAAGCUGAGCUUCAGGUUCUCAAGCAAAUCUCGUGCAUAUCUACCCCAAAGGAAAACCAGCACAGUCGCUCAGAUCUUGCCUAAACGUCUUUCUUUGUGACUUGUGAGUUUUUAAGAUUUAAUUGAUUAGUUUUCAGGAGAGUUGGCUUGUUGCAGAAGCCAGCUCAUCACCAUAUUUGUUGAUCAGCAUGAGAGAUACUCACGUUUGAGUAUGUUUCAGAUUGAGAAUGUAUGUCUUCUCAUACAGGUUCAAGCCUGGAUUUUUAUGCUUCUUUCAUCUGUUAGUGCUCGAUGCUAUUUGUCUAAUCUAAUCUAAGUCAGGAUGUACAGUGAAAGCAUAGCUUCAUGGAUCUCAUGCUCUCUUGAAUUUCUGUGCAGUUCAAACCAUGGAAGAUGAAACAUGAGGAUUGAAAACCCAAAACAAAAAUGUGAAUGUUCAGUGCUGAACUCAUAGAAGAGUGCAAUAUAGAAGACUGAACAGCUACCCCCAACCUGAUGCCCUCAAAUCUUAAGUUUAUAACUUGCAUAAUCCAUGAUCAUUACCAUCUUGGCUAGAGGGUGAGGGAAAUUAGACCUAAAGACAUCUGGGUGACAUCUGGACUUCAGGGAUAGUAACAGCUGUAGGCUGUGUACUGUUUACACAUUUAAGGCCAAGUUGGUUGUAGCAUCCAAGUUAAGAUGUUGGGUUAGAACUGAGCAGAUGCAGAUUCAGGCCCACCCUCUGCCCUUUGGGGCAGUUGUGCUCUAUCUGUGCUCAACCAACCUCUCUGGGUAUUGUGGGGAAAGAUAGGAGGAGGAAGGUCUGUGUGUGCUACCAUAGCUAUGGAAGAAAUGUGGGAUGGAAAUCUAAUGAACCAAAUUAUGUAGGUGCCUGACUCACUGCUCCCAUGUUUUUGAGUGCAAGGGUGGAUUUGACAUAGAAGCUUUACAUAUUUGGUUAAGCUGAAGAUUUUUUAAAAAUCCUAGACUCUGUAAAUAAAUGCAGCACGAUGAGAAUGGUACAGGUGUUAUGGAAAGCAGUGUUUGAUUUUAUUUCACUCAUAUGCCACGUACCUGUUAUUUAGAUUUUCCCGCAGGUAGUUCUUUGCCACUGUUCUGAGCUUGUAAAAAGCCUCUUGACUCGUACAGUCGGAACGUCAAUGAUGUAUCAACCAUGGAUGAGUCAGUAGCUCUCUGUAUCUUAUGGCCUGCUUGAUUCCAUGGUAUUCUUUAUUUGCCCCCUUGCCAAUUAUUAUCCCCAAAUGCAUUUGCUACUAGGUAAGCUUUAACAGCAAGGCAGACGUCAUGGAGAAGGGUGGAAGGGGAGAAAAUAUGCUUUUCUUCUUCUGUAUGUCUGUAGAUAAUGCCAAUUCCUGGUUGUUGGCAUAUUAAUAGGGGUGUUUCCUUUUCCCUUUGCCUCCUGAUGAAACUCGGAGUUUUCACUGGCAGCUUCUUUGGCUCUUCUUCGCUGGCUGACCAUACUGGUGAGAGUCCUGCCUCUCAGCUUUUGGUAAUUAGCUGGUCUUGCUAAUGGGAAGUUAACAGGAAGAAGGUUUUGCUUCUACUUUGUCCAUCCAAUCCAGCUUUCCCCAGUCUGCUGCUCUCCAGAUACUAGCUGGGUUAGUGGGGGAGAAGUCUGUUGGGAUUGCAAAUUCUGGGAUCUGCCAAAACCCCGAGCAUGUCUGCUUGGGCACUCUCCAACACAGAGAUGUUGGGCUCAACGAGUCUUCUCUGACCCUGUGCCCUGUUUGGACUGCAAAUCCCAAAAUUCCCCAGGUUGGAUUCUGGCAAGCAGAGAUAUAUGUUGAUGCUGUUCGUUACUCACCGGUAUUGCAAUGUCUGAGCAAAUGGAUUGUUUUGGAAACUUUUCCCUAGGCACAGUUCUGUCUUUUGCAAUUAAAUAAAUAAAUAAAAUCGAGGUGCUUCCAGACCCUCUCCCAGGAUUUGCUUGUUUCUUUUUCUUUCCUUCCCUCCUCACUGGCUUCUUUGCUUCUCUUCGUAGCAGACAGGUGGCUUAUAUGGAGCUUUCUUCCCAAUGGAGUGCAAACCUGACCAGGAGCAAUUGUAUCUGCUUAAGUGUCUUCCAACUGAUGUUUCAUCCAUUCCCUCAUCCAACAGGGCUAACUCUUUCGGCCAAGGGUUCUUCAGGGUCCUAACCAAGUGACAGCACCUAGCCAACCUCGGUCAAUGCUUGGGUGAGGGAUCACUAGAAGAUCCUAGAGUUGUAGGCUAGACUGGGAAGGUGGAAAAAAAGAAGGCAGUGGCAGUCGCUUCUGUACUGUUACUAAGAAGACCAAGGAAUGAAGUUCUUAGUUCUCCAAGGAAAGGACAACCGUACUCAUCCUGUGAUAUGAUCUCUGUUCGUUCUCAUUUGUAUUCUCUCUCACCUUCUCCCUUGCUGCUUUAAUGUGUCCCUUGGCAUGAUUUCUGCCCCCCUGAGGAAGUUGCUGGGUCUUGGGCCAAAGGGGUAGCUGAAAGGAAGGCAGGAACCCAAAAUGCUACACUUGGGAUCCUCUGGCUUCUCUUGGCAUACUUGAAACCAAUUUUGUUUUUUAAAAAAGGAAGCUGGCGUGCAGCCCAUUAAAACACCAACAUCCAAGAUCAUUUUUAUUUUGAAGGCUGUUGUCCCUAUGUAGGCAUCUUCCAGGGCAAUCUUAGAAAAUAAAAAUGUGGCCUGGUGCUUUGCUUAGAAAUAAGUCCGCCUUCCAAAAAUAACAGAUUUGUUAAUUAUGGCAUGUUAUCUUGAUUUGAAUAAUGAUCCGAAGUUUUAAAUUGACCUUUGAUAUUUUAAUAAGUAGGGCCAAAGGAAUGUUUGAUUUCAGGUGAUAAUACUGAUAAGCAAAAAAGCCAACAGGGAAGAGAUUUUUCUUAAUUUUCCUUCUGGUUUUCCUGUUGAUUAUGUUUUUACAUAUUUAAUAAAUAGAGUGGGGGGGUUUUUGAAAAAGAAAUAAAGCAAAAGUCAGGUGGAGGCAUGUAAAUGAGCAUUUUGGACAGCUAGAGAAAGUGACAAGAAGUGGCUCCAUCAGUCCAAUGAUACUCAAACUUGGCAACUUUAAGUUGUGUGGACUUCAACUCCCAGAAUUCCCCAGCCAGCAUAGUAAAAUCUUUCCGCUUCUAGUCCAAGGACUGGAUCUAAACAAGUCAGCCAAUUCAUUAAUAGGAACUUCCAACCCUAAACCCUGGGGGAAUUGCAGAAAACAUGCAGAAGAGAUGCUUCAGUCAUCAGCAAAUGAGACCAAAAAUGUCAGAAGGACUGUUGUAUCUGCUCAUCCCCGCCUUCCCCAAAUCAUCCAGGCUUCUGUGAACCUUCGAUCUAGAUCAGCUGCUGAUGUCUGGAUUACAUUGAGAAGCUUGGCAAAAGCUCUGCCUAAUCUCCCUUUUGGAUAAUGCAGAGCACCUGCACGGGCUUUUGUGAGAGGUGAUCUCUAAAACUUCUGAAGUGUGAGAUGUUUUGUUUUGUUUCCUGACACCGCUCAUUAGUGUAGCACCAGCCUCGGUGGUUGGAAUCAGAUCUGACAUGGUGAAAUGAAAAACAUAGGCAGAUACAGAAUUUAAAACAAAAUGUGUACUGUAUGUGUAAAAGAAAUGCCUGCCUACCUGUACUCCCUCCCUCCCUCCCCUUCGAGCAGCACUCAAGCCAAAAGAUGCUGCUUUUCCUAGCAUCGUUAUUAUGGGAUGUGCUUUGCACCCGCAUAACUGAAAUCCAGAAAGAGUGA